rnacentral:rRNA from 1 species
UGGGGAAUAUUGGACAAUGGGCGGAAGCCUGAUCCAGCAACGCCGCGUGAGGGAUGACGGCCUUCGGGUUGUAAACCUCUUUCAGUACCGACGAAGCGCCGAUGAUGGUGGUGACGGUAGGUACAGAAGAAGCACCGGCCAACUACGUGCCAGCAGCCGCGGUAAUACGUAGGGUGCGAGCGUUGUCCGGAAUUAUUGGGCGUAAAGGGCUCGUAGGCGGUUUGUCGCGUCGGGAGUGAAAACACCGGGCUUAACUCGGUGCUUGCUUUCGAUACGGGCAGACUAGAGGCAUGCAGGGGAGAACGGAAUUCCUGGUGUAGCGGUGAAAUGCGCAGAUAUCAGGAGGAACACCGGUGGCGAAGGCGGUUCUCUGGGCAUGUCCUGACGCUGAGGAGCGAAAGUGUGGGGAGCGAACAGGAUUAGAUACCCUGGUAGUCCACACCGUAAACGUUGGGCGCUAGGUGUGGGGCCUAUUCCAUGGGUUCCGUGCCGCAGUUAACGCAUUAAGCGCCCCGCCUGGGGAGUACGGCCGCAAGGCUAA